GAAGAAGAAGCUGGAGACUCGGCAAAUAAAAGCCUGCUUUGAGCUCCUGGAGCUAUGCCAUACUUCUUUGCUGUGAGGAUUUUCUCCUUCUGGAAACUUAAGCAAAUGACAUGAAUGGGAGACAAGUUGCUGACCUUGCUAUAAGAACAUCACUGGAACACCAAGUCAGAAAGCAAGUGGAAGAACAUUCAUUCAUGGAACAUGGUCCUCUCAUUCAGACUCUUCCCUUCACUACUAAAGAAAGACAAGCAAGGUUUCAGAUUCUUCUCAUUCCCUGUUUCUGUAAGUAACA
rnacentral:sRNA from 1 species